rnacentral:lncRNA from 1 species
CUAAAAGCGCAUUGCACAUAAUUAUCAAUUUCAAAUUUAAGACGGUUUGAAUCUACAGAAAGAAACCCUUUUCACAUUAGAUUGGAUAAGCAGGGCAUGUUGUUGGUGCGGUUCGUCCGCACCAAGAACUCGUUGUGGUUAUUUUUAUUUUAUAAAUAAAUGCAUGUGUGUACCAAAAGCGCAUUGCAGAUAAUUAUCAAUUUCAAAGUUAAGACGAUUUGAAUCUACGAAAGAAACCCUCUUCACAUUAGAUUGGAUAGGUACGCACCAAGAACUUGUUGUGGAAAUCGUCGUUCUGGCCGUUCAUAUGUAUCGUCCAGUCCCUUAUCGGUCGUUCACGCGCCAUCCGUCCCCUACAAACGCGAUGGCAUGGGUUCUGGUUCCAGUCCUGCGAUUCUGGGAUUCCAUUUCAAGGAACUGGCGUGGUUCCAGGUCAAAAGUAGCCACGCCAGACAUCUGUCGGAUUUGAAAUCUGACGAAUCCGUGCAGCCAGUUUCAGUUGCGGACAACCACACCUGAAGCUGGUUGUGGAUAGGUAUAGUAUUUAG